CACAUUAUACCUGAAUGAAUCUCAGGGAAUGGAGGAAAUUGUCCCUUAUUUCUCCCUUCCUUGAAAUUCAUUCGGGUACAAUGC